AUUGAACGCUGGCGGCAGGCCUAACACAUGCAAGUCGGACGAGCGGCGGACGGGUGAGUAAUGUAUGGGGAACUGCCUGAUGGAGGGGGAUAACUACUGGAAACGGUAGCUAAUACCGCAUACCAUCAGAUGUGCCCAGAUGGGAUUAGCUAGUAGGUGGGGUAACGGCUCACCAAGGCGACGAUCCCUAGCUGGUCUGAGAGGAUGACCAGCCACACUGGGACUGAGACACGGUCCAGACUCCUACGGGAGGCAGCAGUGGGGAAUAUUGCACAAUGGGCGCAAGCCUGAUGCAGCCAUGCCGCGUGUAUGAAGAAGGCCUUCGGGUUGUAAAGUACUUUCAGUCGGGAGGCGUUACCUACAGAAGAAGCACCGGCUAACUCCGUGCCAGCCGCCGCGGUAAUAC
rnacentral:rRNA from 1 species